rnacentral:rRNA from 1 species
CAAAGGAAUUGACGGGACCCGCACAAGCAGCGGAGCGUGUGGUUUAAUUCGUUGCUACACGAAGAACCUUACCUAGGUUUGACAUAUAGGUUGUAGGGAACUGAAAAGGGACCGACCCUUCGGGGAGCCUAUACAGGUGUUGCAUGGCUGUCGUCAGCUCGUGUCGUGAGAUGUUCGGUUAAGUCCGCUAACGAGCGCAACCCUCGCUGUGUGUUACAAGUGUCACACGGUACUGCCGGUCUUAAGCCGGAGGAAGGUGGGGAUGACGUCAAGUCAGCAUGGCCUUUAUAUCCUGGGCUACACACACGCUACAAUGGCAGAUACAAUAGGUUGCGAAACCGCGAGGUGGAGCCAAUCCUCAAAGUCUGUCUCAGUUCAGAUUGUAGGCUGCAACUCGCCUGCAUGAAGUUGGAGUUGCUAGUAAACGCAGGUCAGCUAUACUGCGUUGAAUACGUUCCCGGGGUUU